CCUCUCUACAGAUUUCAGUUUUACAAAAGGCUGGGAGAAAGAUGCAUACUUCCCUUCCAUACUAACUGCAGGCUCAAGAUGAACCCAUAUAGGAAGUCACCACCACAGCCAGCAAUGGUUGAUGUGGAUGUCUGCAGGAGAUGAGGUCUGUGUCCCCUUUUCUCACUGCAAUCCUCUUCCUGCCUGUUGAAAGUGACGGCAGUGUGGGACCAUCUGCCUCACCACCACAGUGCUGAAAUGUUUGUCCUGGUCUGGAGUGACUUUCUUGGGCAGGAUGAGCAUCAGCAAUGGUUCCUGCGGGCUUUCCAAGAUCAUUAGCAUACUCUGAAAAUCAGUACGAGGCUGAUAUUUCCAGCUGCCUGUGAGAUUCUGUUGUGUGAGACAUACCCUGAAGAAGUGGUCAGUGUGCCACCAUUUGCACAGCCCAUCCUGUAGACCACUGUUGAGCCUGUUAAUCAGAAACAAAGAAGUAACCUGUGCCCAGAGGUACAUUUUCAAUUUACAGAGAUGGGACUUCAGGGAAGUCUGCACUAGCAUAUUUCCCACAGGAAACAAAGUGGCCUAG
rnacentral:lncRNA from 1 species